GCACCGCGAUGUUCUGCCUCACGUCCAGCGACGCCCCCAUGUACGUGCACAUCCCCGGGUUGGCCUUGAGGAUCUCCUCGUCCAGGUAAAAAUGUCUCUUUUUUAUGCCUGACCUGUCACCUGCAAUGCGCAGAAACGAAAUCCAGGGACGACGUGAUCAGAAGCGAGAAGCUUUGCUACGAAGAAACGAGAUUUUUCUACGUGAGCGGGGAAUGCCGGGACCGGGCAUCCGAGGGUGGAGGACUUACAG
rnacentral:lncRNA from 1 species